AACGUAGGACGCAAGCGUUAUCCGGAAUUACUGGGCGUAAAGCGCGUGUAGGUGGUUUUAUAAGUCACUGUUGAAAGCUCCCGGCUAAACUGGGAGAGGUGCGGUGAGACUGUAGAGCUAGAGUUUGGGAGAGGGGUGCGGAAUUCCGGGUGUAGCGGUGAAAUGCGUAGAUAUCCGGAGGAACACCGGUGGCGAAGGCGGCUUCCUGGACCGACACUGACGCUGAGGCGCGAAAGCUAGGGGAGCGAACCGG
rnacentral:rRNA from 1 species